rnacentral:rRNA from 1 species
AACGAACGCUGGCGGCAUGCCUAACACAUGCAAGUCGAACGAGACCUUCGGGUCUAGUGGCGCACGGGUGCGUAACGCGUGGGAAUCUGCCCUUUGCUUCGGAAUAACAGUUAGAAAUGACUGCUAAUACCGGAUGAUGUCUUCGGACCAAAGAUUUAUCGGCAAAGGAUGAGCCCGCGUAGGAUUAGGUAGUUGGUGGGGUAAAGGCCUACCAAGCCGACGAUCCUUAGCUGGUCUGAGAGGAUGAUCAGCCACACUGGGACUGAGACACGGCCAGACUCCUACGGGAGGCAGCAGUGGGGAAUAUUGGACAAUGGGCGAAAGCCUGAUCCAGCAAUGCCGCGUGAGUGAUGAAGGCCUUCGGUCGUAAAGCUCUUUACUACGGGAAUGAGUAAUGACAGUACCUGGAGAAU